UACGUAGGCAGCGAGCGUUGUUCGGAGUUACUGGGCGUAAAGGGCUCGUAGGCGGCCAACUAAGUCGGAUGUGAAAUCCCCAGGCUCAACCUGGGAACUGCAUCCGAUACUGGAUGGCUUGAAUCCGGGAGAGGGAUGCAGAAUUCCAGGUGUAGCGGUGAAAUGCGUAGAUAUCUGGAGGAAUACCGGUGGCGAAGGCGGCAUCCUGGACCGGCAUUGACGCUGAGGAGCGAAAGCCAGGGGAGCAAACGGG
rnacentral:rRNA from 1 species